GCCGCGGUAUCCUAACCGUGCGAAGGUAGCGCAAUCAAUUGUCUCAUAAAUCGAGACUUGUAUGAAUGGCUAAACGAGGUCUUAGCUGUCUCCUGCAGGUAAUCAGUGAAAUUAGUAUUCCCGUGCAAAAACGAGAAUGUGACCAUAAGACGAGAAGACCCUGUGGAACUUUAAAAUCACGACCACCUUCACACCAACACAACCCAUCGGAUCCACCCACAAAGCACUUGGUCGACAUUUUUCGGUUGGGGCGACCCUGGAGAAAAACAAAUCCUCCAAACCCAUAGACCACACCUCUUCACCAAGAUCCACCACUCAAAGUGCUAAUAGUAAUCUAGACCCAAUACAAUUGACCAAUGGACCAAGCUACCCCAGGGAUAACAGCGCAAUCUCCUCCAAGAGCCCAUAUCGACAAGGAGGUUUACGACCUCG
rnacentral:rRNA from 1 species